rnacentral:rRNA from 1 species
AGUGAGCGCUGGCGGUAGGCCUAACACAUGCAAGUCGAACGGCAGCACAGUAAGAGCUUGCUCUUACGGGUGGCGAGUGGCGGACGGGUGAGGAAUACAUCGGAAUCUACUUUUUCGUGGGGGAUAACGUAGGGAAACUUACGCUAAUACCGCAUACGACCUACGGGUGAAAGCAGGGGAUCUUCGGACCUUGCGCGAUUGAAUGAGCCGAUGUCGGAUUAGCUAGUUGGCGGGGUAAAGGCCCACCAAGGCGACGAUCCGUAGCUGGUCUGAGAGGAUGAUCAGCCACACUGGAACUGAGACACGGUCCAGACUCCUACGGGAGGCAGCAGUGGGGAAUAUUGGACAAUGGGCGCAAGCCUGAUCCAGCCAUACCGCGUGGGUGAAGAAGGCCUUCGGGUUGUAAAGCCCUUUUGUUGGGAAAGAAAAGCAGCAGGUUAAUACCCCGCUGUUCUGACGGUACCCAAAGAGUAAGCACCGGCUAACUUCGUG